ensembl:misc_RNA 7SK 7SK RNA
AAAUAUGAGAGUGAUCUGCAUGCAACAUCUGUCACUCUAUUGAGUGCAAGCAUUCAUAGGCUGACCUGGCUGGCUAGGCUGAAUCCCCUUCUUACUUCAUUCGCUGUGUGUUCUUUUGGAACAUGUUAGCUAGCUUGGUUUAAUAGAAGGACUUUCCCAGAGAGAAGAGGAACAUGUAUGAGUAACUGUACUUCCCUGCAGAAGCUCCAAACAAGUUGUCAGUGUCCAUUUGCAGAAUAUAGGGUAGUCAAGUUUCCAAGACUCCAGGCACAUCCAAAUAAGAUGCUGUGUGUGGCAGUCUGCCCUAA